GGGCCCGCACAAGCGGUGGAGCAUGUGGUUUAAUUCGAUGCAACGCGAAAAACCUUACCUACCCUUGAAUCCCGAGAACUUUAUAGAGAUAUAUUGGUGCCGCAAGGAGCUCGGAGACAGGUGCUGCAUGGCUGUCGUCAGCUCGUGUCGUGAGAUGUUGGGUUAAGUCCCGUAACGAGCGCAACCCUUAUCCUUAGUAGCCAUCAUUUAGUUGGGGACUCUAAGGAGACUGCCGGUGAUAAACCGGAGGAAGGUGAGGACGACGUCAAGUCAUCAUGGCCUUUAUGGGUAGGGCUACACACGUGCUACAAUGGGUGCUACAAAGGGAAGCGAAGUCGCGAGGCGGAGCAAA
rnacentral:rRNA from 1 species